CAGGGGUAAGCUUGCUUCCCGCUGACGAGCGGCGGACGGGUGAGUAAUGCUUAGGAAUCUGCCCAGUAGUGGGGGAUAGCCCGGGGAAACCCGGAUUAAUACCGCAUACGUCCUACGGGAGAAAGCAGGGGAUCUUCGGACCUUGCGCUAUUGGAUGAGCCUAAGUCGGAUUAGCUAGUUGGUGGGGUAAAGGCCUACCAAGGCGACGAUCCGUAGCUGGUCUGAGAGGAUGAUCGCCACAUCGGGACUGAGACCGGCCCGAACUCCUACGGGAGG
rnacentral:rRNA from 1 species